UCUUCCUCAUCGGUUUCUCACUGAAAACAAAACAAGAGAAAGAGAGAUCAAAAGCAUUUCACAGACUCACUCACUUUUCGAUUUUCAUUCUCUCAUUAACGAAACCGCUUCUCAGCGAUUAAGCGUAAGGGAAAAGAUAACACGGUUUAUGUGCGCGCUGAAUGAGAGUUUCCGUUUUUGCUGAACCCGAAGAAGCUUGUUCUCAGAGACAUGGCUAUGCUCCGAAAAUUGUUCUUUCGAAAACCCCCCGAUGGCCUUCUCGAGAUCUGUGAACGAGUCUAUGUAUUUGAUUGCUGCUUCACCACUGAUGCUUGGAGCGAAGAGAAUUACAAAGUUUACAUUGAUGGUAUAGUUGGUCAUCUUAGGGAGAACUUGCAAGAUGCUUCAAUUCUUGUUUUCAAUUUCAGAGAGGAAGACACCAAAAGCGUUAUGGCAGAUAUAUUAUCUGAGUAUGACAUUACUAUUAUGGACUAUCCGCGGCACUACGAGGGUUGCCCUGUGCUCAAGAUGGAGCUCAUUCACCAUUUCUUAAGGUCUGGUGAGAGUUGGCUCUCUCUUGGGCAGCACAAUGUGUUGUUAAUGCAUUGUGAGCGUGGAGGUUGGCCUGUUUUGGCCUUCAUGCUAGCUGCAUUGUUGAUUUUUCGGAAGCUUUAUACCGGGGAGCAACGGACUUUGGAUAUGGUGUAUAAGCAGUCUCCCCGCGAGCUUUUACAUUUGCUGACACCCUUGAAUCCGAUCCCUUCGCAGCUGAGGUAUCUGCAGUAUGUUUCAAGAAGGAAUGUGGCCAUAGAUUGGCCACCGUUGGACAGGGCGCUCAUGUUGGACUGCAUCAUCCUUAGAUUCAUCCCAAAUUUCGAUGGAGAAGGAGGCUGCCAUCCCUUGUUUAGAAUUUAUGGGCAGGACCCUUUUAGUGGAGACAAGAAUCCGAAAAUGUUGUACUCAACGCCCAAGAGAAGCAAGAAUAUCCGGUGUUACAAGCAGGGAGAGAGUGAACUAAUUAAGAUUGAUAUCAGUUGCCAUAUUCAAGGUGAUGUUGUGGUUGAGAGCACUAACUUGAACACUGAUAUGGAGCAAGAAAUGAUGAUGUUCCGAGUAAUGUUCAACACUGCUUUUGUUAGAUCUAAUAUUAUGAUGCUUAACCGGGAUGAAGUUGACAUUUUAUGGGAUGGUAAAGAUCACUUUCCAAAGGAUUUCAGAGCUGAGAUCCUUUUCUCAGAAAUGGAUGCUGCUGCAGCUGUUAUGGUGGAUCGCACCUCAUGCUUCGAGGAGAAGGAAGGACUGCCAGUGGAAGCAUUUGCCAAGGUUCAAGAGAUUUUUAACUAUGUGGACUGGUUGGACCCCAAUGCAGAUGCUGCACUAAAUGUUCUCCAACAGAUGACUGCUUCGGCUAUCAUUAACGACAAGUUGGAUACAGUUUCUGAUCAGCAUGGAGAAAUGGGCACAAUGCCUCAGGGGAAAAUGAGUAAGCAAUCCCCGGAAAAUGAGAAGAGUAAAAAAGGUGACAUGGCCAGCAAAGUUGAUGCUACUCCAAAGGCAUCUGAUAUUUCUUAUUUGCCUGGUUCUAUGGAAGCUUCUUUUUCCCCAGAAACUCCUCCUUUACGGCCUGCCCGAACUAGAUUAGGCAAAACAUUUCAUGAUUCUCUUCCCCAUACAGAAGUCAGUCAUCAACUUGUUAUUGAUGAAACUGAAGCCCAAUUACAAGAUAGAAGUCUGUCACCUAUUUCUAGGUUUGCACCUGAGAGUCAAUCGUCACCUACCUCUUGUAGUAAGUCACCAACUGAUACCAUCACCCUGGCUUCAAAUUCAGGUACUACUUCAGUUCAGCCACCCCCUGCACUUUCUCCCAGAACACCGUUGAAGGAGAUUCCACCUGUAAAAACAAGACUCGAGUCAUCCUCACCGCCUCCACCCCCUCUUCCUCCUACUCCUCCUCCAAAGGAUCAUAAACCAGCUAUAGUUAGACCUCCUCCACCUCCGCCACAUCCUUCAAAGAAUGAUCUACAUGUUAUAGAAGGAACCCCUCCUCCACCAUCACCUGCUUUAAAGGAAGAGCCACAGAUAAAAGCUAGACACCCUCCUCCUCCUCCUCCUCCACCUCCUGCAAAGGAUGAUUCACAGGUUAGAGCUAAAUCCCCUCCACCACCGCCACCACCUCCUUGUCUCUCUGUCAAAGCUGAAGCUCCUAGUACACCAUCAGCAGCACCACCGCCGCCGCUGCCGCCACUGCCACCAUCUGCAUCAUUUCCCUCCAAUAAGCCCAAUCCUUCUGCACCAGCUGCCCCUCCACCUCCUUCUGCACCAACUGCUCCACGACCUCCUUCUGCACCAGCUGCUCCACCACCUCCUGCUCCCUUUGGCAAGGGAGGUUCAAACCCCAGCAAUGGUUUUCCAGGGUCUCUUUCGGAUGGAUCCGGCUCAAAGGGACGGAUUCUGUCACGUACUAUUAGUUCAAAGAAUAAUGGCAAAAAGCUGAAGCCAUUGCACUGGUUGAAACUAUCUAGGGCGGUGCAAGGAAGUUUGUGGGCUGAGACACAGAAAUCGGGUGAAGCUUCCAAAGCCCCAGAGAUUGACAUGUCAGAGCUUGAGAGUCUCUUCUCAGCAGCAGCCCCAAGUUCAGGUUCAACCAAGAAAUCAAAUUCCCAAAGCUCAGUUGGGCCUAAAUCUGAUAAAGUGCAGCUGAUUGAGCAUAGGCGAGCAUACAAUUGUGAAAUCAUGCUUUCAAAAGUGAAGGUGCCAUUGCAUGAAUUAAUGAGCUCAGUGCUAGCACUGGAAGAGUCAGCACUAGACAUUGAUCAGGUUGAGAAUAUCAUAAAGUUUUGUCCUACGAAAGAAGAGAUGGAAUUACUUAAGGGUUAUACAGGGGAAAAGGAGAAGUUAGGGAGGUGUGAACAGUUCUUCUUAGAGUUGAUGCAAGUACCACGGGUAGAAUCCAAGCUCAGAGUUUUCUCAUUCAAAAUUCAGUUCCAAACUCAGGUUGCUGACCUUAGAAAUAACCUGAAUGUUGUGAAUGCUGCAGCAGAUGAGAUCAGAGGUUCUGUCAAAUUUAAGAGAGUUAUGCAAACCAUACUUUCCCUGGGCAAUGCUUUGAACCAGGGAACUGCCAGGGGUUCAGCCAUUGGAUUCAGAUUGGAUAGUCUUCUGAAGCUUACUGAAACACGUGCACGGAACAAGAAGAUGACUCUCAUGCAUUAUCUUUGCAAGGUGCUGGCUGAUAAACUACCAGAAGUUUUAGACUUCUCCAAGGAUGUUGCUAACCUAGAGCCAGCAGCAAAGAUCCAAUUGAAAAUUCUGGCAGAGGAGAUGCAAGCUAUAAGCAAAGGAUUAGAGAAAGUUGUGCAGGAAUUAUCGAUCUCUGAAAAUGAUGGUCCGAUGUCAGAGACUUUCCGCAAGAAUUUGAAAGGGUUCCUCUCUCAUGCUGAAGCUGAAGUCCGUUCAUUGGCUUCACUAUAUUCUCGCGUGGGUAGGAAUGUAGACACGUUGAUUCUUUAUUUUGGGGAAGAUCCAUCACGGUGCCCUUUUGAGCAAGUUGUCAAUACUCUGCUCAACUUCACUGGAAUGUUUAAUAAAGCACAUGAAGAGAACAGCAAGCAGCUAGAGCUUGAAAUGAAGAAAACAGCAGACAGUGACAAAAAGAAGUGUGAACAAGAAAAGAUAAUACCGGCAGCAAUCCGGACCGGCAACGUCCAAUGAGCGGUAAUUGGAUGUAACACUAGCUUCAACAAUCAGAACACACUAAGCAUGACUAGCAAUUUGAUCGGAGAAAAAAUGGUUUCAUGAUUUUGGGGAGUGCAUGUAUAGUGACACAGCACUUUUAGCUCUGACGUUGAGAACCAAAACAUGCAUAGAUGAUAGAACUACAUAUAGCACUGCAAAGGCGAGAUCUUGGUGAUAAUUGAGACAGAAGAUAGCACAGAUUAAUUAAUUAGUGGAGCUUUGCUAACAUAAUUGGAUAAGCAGGCACGUGGGUUGAGGAUGAUAUCACAGCAUUUUUAUACAAAGUCAUACAUCUGAACUAUGAAGCAUCAAACGGCACGUGGUGUGGUGGCGCUGAGGUCACGUGCCUUCAACGUUAUACCUUCUUGUGGGGAUUGCGGUCCCCUCUUCCUCCCAUCUCAUAUAAUACCAACAAGAAUGAUUAAAAACCAAGAGGUCAUUUGUCUAAAUUAAUUAAAAGCAGUGCUUCAAGCUAUUGUUAUUAUUACUAUUCUUUUUCACUUUUUCACCUUCCCAAUUCAUCCAUGCCUAUCCCAAAAAAAGUUGACUUAUGUAGUUAUGCAACCUCUUACUCUUAAAAAAGAAGGCUUAAGCUUUUGCUUCUCCCAUUUUAAUGCUUAACCGAUAAAGAAAAGUAAAAAGAAACAUCUUGUGUAAUGUGUGUAUUUAUACAUUUGUUUUUUAGUGUACAAAAAAAUUUCUCAUUUA